AAUAUGGCCGGGGGGUGCUCCCGUUGGACGGGCGCUGAGACUAUACCCUUGGAACCUGACCCAGUUAAUGCUGGCGGAGGAAUCGGCUAAAGUGGUUUUC
rnacentral:ncRNA from 1 species